rnacentral:sRNA from 1 species
CUGGAACCCGCCUCUCUCGUGGACCUUGACCUCCAGCGAACCUCGUCGCCACGUUUAGCUCUCCCUGACCUGAUUUUGAACCCGCUAAUCCCGUCCCGAACUCUCGCCCCGCGGCGAUCCCUCGUCCCGGCCCGGCGCGCUAAUUCCCGCUGACCCCGCGGCCCCGCCGCCUCUCCCAGCUCGCGCAGCUUUGAACCUCGGCGAGGGCUUC